GAUGAACGCUGGCGGCGUGCCUAAUACAUGCAAGUCGAGCGAACAGACGAGGAGCUUGCUCCUCUGACGUUAGCGGCGGACGGGUGAGUAACACGUGGAUAACCUACCUAUAAGACUGGGAUAACUUCGGGAAACCGGAGCUAAUACCGGAUAAUAUAUUGAACCGCAUGGUUCAAUAGUGAAAGACGGUUUUGCUGUCACUUAUAGAUGGAUCCGCGCCGCAUUAGCUAGUUGGUAAGGUAACGGGCUACCAAGGCAACGAGGCGUAGACGACCUGAGAGGGUGAUCGGCCACACUGGAGCUGAGACACCGUCCAGACUCCUACGGGAGGCAGCAGUAGGGAAUCUUCCGCAAUGGGCGAAAGCCUGACGGAGCAACGCCGCGUGAGUGAUGAAGGUCUUCGGAUCGUAAAACUCUGUUAUUAGGGAAGAACAAAUGUGUAAGUAACUAUGCACGUCUUGACGGUACCUAAUCAGAAAGCCACGGCUAACUACGUG
rnacentral:rRNA from 1 species